rnacentral:rRNA from 1 species
UACGAAGGGGGCUAGCGUUGCUCGGAAUCACUGGGCGUAAAGCGCACGUAGGCGGCUUUCUAAGUCAGGGGUGAAAUCCUGGAGCUCAACUCCAGAACUGCCUUUGAUACUGGAGAGCUAGAGUCCGGAAGAGGUGAGUGGAACUGCGAGUGUAGAGGAGAAAUUCGUAGAUAUUCGCAAGAACACCAGUGGCGAAGGCGGCUCACUGGUCCGGUACUGACGCUGAGGUGCGAAAGCGUGGGGAGCGAACAGG